rfam:Myotis lucifugus cont2.25647, whole genome shotgun sequence.
GGCAGUUCUCGGGUGACGCACCCUGGAAUCAAGCUCCCUCCUCUCUGGUUCCGGGGUGUGCGUCACCCAAGAACUGCC